UCGGAUAAAAAUUAGAUAAUUCACAAAACCAGCAAUCAGAUUACAUACCAAAAUAUGCUAUCUGAAAUAAAUAAAGAAGAAGAUCAGAAAACAGUACACACUAAUAGAAGAAUUAUGCUAUGUGUACACCUCAUGGUGGCCCUCCAUGUUAGGUGCGGCGGCGGGGGAGGUGUAAUCCAUUGUGUACAUGGUGUACACAUUGUCCCUACCCAUUUCAGC
rnacentral:lncRNA from 1 species